rnacentral:rRNA from 1 species
UACGGAGGGUGCAAGCGUUAUCCGGAUUCACUGGGUUUAAAGGGUGCGUAGGUGGGUAUGUAAGUCAGUGGUGAAAUCUCCGUGCUUAACAUGGAAACUGCCAUUGAUACUAUGUUUCUUGAAUCUUCCGGAGGUCAGCGGAAUAUGUCAUGUAGCGGUGAAAUGCUUAGAUAUGACAUAGAACACCAAUUGCGAAGGCAGCUGACUACAGGGGCAUUGACACUGAGGCACGAAAGCGUGGGGAUCAAACAGG